AACUCCAAAAAAACACAAAGAAGAUGAAGAAAAAGAAGCUUCCGAAGCAGAAGUCGCGGAGCGUUCGGUUUCCUACAGAAAGGAACAUCCCAUACGGCCAGCGUGUUGUCAUGGCAACAACCAACAUGCAGCUGUUGCACCAGCGCAGGCCGGAGAGAACUCGAGGAGGACGGUGCCAGGCGGACGUUUGAUUUCACGUUCAGAGAGAGUUUGGCAGUUUGCGGAGAAAAGUUUCGGGAAGCCCUUUAACAUGGACUCGAGCCCCAGUGACCACACGUCCUCGCACUGUUUCAACCAUCGAGACAUAGAACAGAUAGUUGGUGAAGAGGAGCAGCAGGAGUGUAGCUCCAGUGUGGACCAGCAGGAGCCAGAGCCCCCCCCCCCAC